AAGAAAAAGAAAAGUGGCUGAUGGGACUUGAGAGGCUAGGGAACCGUGCCCCUCCAACUUAGAUGGUCUGCAUUAGACCUUCGGACACAGGCCAUGGCAAAAAAUAAUAUGGCAUCAUGGUAUAGGGGUGCAUCUUAAAUUCUUCAAACCCUUUCUUCUUCUAUUGUCUCAUGAGAUAUUUUUGCAUGGAGACUCUCUACCAAUUGGUUCCAACCACAACCUAGUUCGGCAAUUUGACCCAUUCCUGAUUGUUCUCCACCGCCACCAUAGCAAAUCUCGGCACACUCUGUAACAGAUAAGUCUUUUUCACUCUUUACUCCUCUUCUUCCUUCUCCAUUUGCUCUAGCUGUUGCCUUCACUCCACUAUGCAAUAAAUUAUUAUCGACGUCCCUGAGGCCAAUUGAUAUCACCGGAGUGUAGAUCUCUUUCUCAUCAAUCUAUUUUGCUUCUGUUGGUUUGUAUUUUAUGUAAAUUUUAAUUUGAAUGCAGUAAUGGAUACUACAAAGAUUGGAGUUCAAAAGCUUGAUUUUGCUAGUGCAAUACUGUAAGUGUUACUUUAUUUUUUUUGUUUGUUAAUUUCCAAAAAUUAAGAAUUAAUUACUUUAAAUGUUACCUUUUAAAGUGUACGUAGGAGGGAAGGCGUGGCACUCGGGAAGUUUAAAAAAUCUAGGAUUUUGGGUAGUGACGGGCAGGGAAAAGCCCGGCUACCUGUUUUUCUCAGGCUGUCUUUCAACAUCCCUUAAUGAAUCUUAAGUACUCAUAAAAUAUAGGCUAUUUUAUCCAAAUAACAUAAAAAUAUAAUAAUUAAUUAUGUUAAUAACAUAAUUAAAAAUAAUCACUCAAAUGAUUUAAAAUAAACAUUAAAGUGGGGUUAAGGGUAAUAAAUGGUAGGCAUUAGAUAAAUUUUUGACACAAUCAUCAAGUGGUUAAAAAAAUAUUUUUUUAGUGUUAGGAGUAGAUGGUCGAAUUUUUUUUAUUUUUUUCCAACUCAUAUCAUAUUGAUAUACGCUUUUAUCAAUAUUUAGAAAAAAAAAUUUGGGUGUUGAAACUUGAAACACUAAUAAUUGACACCCUCUAUAAAAUUUUAAAAAACUUUUUAGCUACCUUUGUACUUGAUUUAUUUAUUUUUUUGGUGUUGGGUCAGUACCCCAAUAUUAGAAUUUAAAAAAAAAAUAGGGAUAUUGAGAUAGUGAUGACC